rnacentral:rRNA from 1 species
GACGAACGCUGGCGGCGUGCUUAACACAUGCAAGUCGAACGGAAAGGCUCCAGCUUGCUGGCGUACUCGAGUGGCGAACGGGUGAGUAACACGUGAGUAACCUGCCCUUGACUUUGGGAUAACUUCAGGAAACUGGGGCUAAUACCGGAUAGGAGAUCCUGCUGCAUGGUGGGGGUUGGAAAGUUUCGGCGGUUGGGGAUGGAAUCGCGGCGUACCCGCUUGUUGGUGGGGUAGUGGAUUACCAAGGUUUUGAGGGGAACGCUGCCAGAGGGAGUGAACGGCGGCAUUGAGACUGAGAGACGGCACAGACUCGGACGGGAGGCAGAAGGGGGGAAUAUUGCACGAGGGGUGGCAGCCGGAUGCAGAAACGCUUCGGGCGGGAUGACGGUCUUAGGGGUGAAAAACGUAUGUGCUCAUGACGGAGCUUUGUGUGACGGUAGUGGGUAAAGAAGCACCGGCUAACUACGUG